GGGGGGGCAACCGCGUGAGUUUUUGCAGCCUGCCUGCCGUGGGCCUCAGACGCCACGUCGAGACGCGAGAGCAGCUUUUACGCCCAACUUUUGGCAGCGCGGCCGGUGUUCCCGAAAGGGUAACUCUCCGCUGAGACGCCAGAGAUCACUGCUUCGCUGCACCGAGCUCCUACUUACGGCCACGGAUCCAGAGAUGUUCUGAAUCCUCAGCCCGCCGUCCGCUUCGAGGCAGCACUUUACCGGCUCCGUCGAACAGAGAGAGAGCCAGACGGGCCAUUAUGAAACUACAGAUUCCAUCGUCAGAGGUAGGAGCUAAAGAUAUAAGUUCCAGCGGAAGGAGAUGUGACGGGGUCGGUCGCCUCCCUCCUUCACCAGGGGUUUGUGAAACUCUCGUCCGGCGCGCGAAUGUAUGGCCGCCCAGCAGUACUCGCAGUAGUACUGCAGACAGGUGACGUUGGCGCAGAAGAACGGUGCAAACUUCCCGCCGCAGCGAGUUCCCUGGCACUCAUCGCACAGCUGGUCAUCCAGCACGUAUGGCUUCACUUCCACCUGCAAACAGAGGCCACCUUAAGCUGUGUGACAGACCUGCAGAGUUCACUAUUAUUCCUUUGCUGCUGACAUCAGAGGGCGGUAUCAUGACUCAAACACGGCCAACAACUGUACUGUCUAUGGAGAACUGAAGAAACACAGCGGUCCUCUCAGUGAGGCUUGGUGACAGCUCCUGACCAUGUGAUCUCACCAUGUGACCCAGCAAUCUUGUGAAGAAACUACUGGCCUGUCCUGUUUUACAUCCUGGCCCAAGACCAGAAGGCAAAAGCUACAACAACACAAUUACACAAUUGUAAAGGGAAUGAGUGUGUGCAAGGGCAAGGUAAAAUAGCU